UUAUGGCGGUAUUUUAAGCUUUUCAGAGGAAUUUGCUCUUUAAUGGAUAAAACACCUAAAUCUUACUUAAAUUUGUAAAUUCAAUUUGUAUACCACUAUAAAAACAAUUAAUAACUUCAAUUGUUAAAAUUUAUUAAAUUAAGUUAUAUUAAGUCAAGGUGCAGUAAAAAUUUAAGAAUGAAGUGAAUUACAUUUCUUUUUAGAGAGAGAAAUUUAAAUAACAUUUAGGA
rnacentral:rRNA from 1 species